GAUGAACGCUGGCGGCGUGCUUAACACAUGCAAGUCGAACGGAAAGGCUCCUGCUUGCAGGGGUACUCGAGUGGCGAACGGGUGAGUAACACGUGGGUGAUCUGCCCUGCACUUCGGGAUAAGCCUGGGAAACUGGGUCUAAUACCGGAUAGGACGAUGGUUUGGAUGCCAUUGUGGAAAGUUUUUUCGGUGUGGGAUGAGCUCGCGGCCUAUCAGCUUGUUGGUGGGGUAAUGGCCUACCAAGGCGUCGACGGGUAGCCGGCCUGAGAGGGUGUACGGCCACAUUGGGACUGAGAUACGGCCCAGACUCCUACGGGAGGCAGCAGUGGGGAAUAUUGCACAAUGGGCGCAAGCCUGAUGCAGCGACGCCGCGUGGGGGAUGACGGCCUUCGGGUUGUAAACUCCUUUCGCUAGGGACGACGCGCAAGUGACGGUACCUGGAGAAGAAGCACCGGCUAACUACGU
rnacentral:rRNA from 1 species